AUGAUGGCAAGAUGUUGCAAGGUCGGCGGCGACGGCGAGGGAAGCAACGGUGCUGCGACGAGGGGACUUGCAGCAGUGGUCGUCGACGAACCGCUGCAGCAACGCCAGCAAGGUCGUCCCCGCGGGGAGCGUGCCUCGGCUGUUGGUCGUCGUGGUGCCGGAGGUCACCAUGAUGGUCGCCGCGCUCAGCAGGGUGGAUAUGGUGGAUUUGCAAUCAUCGGGCCUUCAUUUACUUCCUCCGGGUGGUGGUGCCGCUCGGUCUGCUGUGCUGUGUUCCUUCGACUGGUGGCUCUUCUGGCGGUGGUUCUAUGCGGCGUAGAGAAGAGAUUCGGCUUGGGAAACGUCAUGUUGAUCAUACUAUUGCUGCCUCUUUUUGCCAGCCUGCGUGCUACGUGCCUCCUGUUGAUCCUCGUGUCCUUUCGUCCAAUGCAUACCAUGGUAUUUUUUGGGGUUUUUGAUGUGACAGUUGUUUUAAAUCUAUAUCUAUAUCUAUACUACUAUAUAGUGUAUCAGUUUUGA
rnacentral:rRNA from 1 species